CUGGGCUUAAGCGUGUGUAGGCGGAUGCCUAAGUACCUUGUGAAAUCCCACGGCUUAACCGUGGAACUGCUUGGUAUACUGGGUGUCUUGAGCCACUCAGGGGCGAGCGGAACAAAUGGUGGAGCGGUGAAAUGCGUAGAUAUCAUUUGGAACGCCAAUGGUGAAAACAGCUCGCUGGGGGUGUGCUGACGCUGAGACACGAAAGCCAGGGGAGCGAACGGGAUUAGAUACCCCGGUAGUCCUGGCCGUAAACGAUGUCGACUAGAUCGUGGCGCCUCUGACGGUGUCACGGUCGAAGCAAAAGUGCUAAGUCGACCGCCUGGGAAGUACGGUCGCAAGGCUAAAACUCAAAGGAAUUGACGGGGGCUCACACAAGCGGUGGAGCAUGUGGUUCAAUUCGAAGCAACGCGCAGAACCUUACCUGGGCUUGACAUGCUAGGAUUAUCCCUAUGAAAGUAGGGUAGGCCCUUCGGGGUACAACUAGUACAGGUGCUGCAUGGCUGUCGUCAGCUCGUGUCGUGAGAUGUCGGGUUAAGUCCCUUAACGAGCGAAACCUUUGCCCUUAGUUACUACAGGUAAUGCUGAGGACUCUAAGGGGACUGCCGGUGUCAAACCGGAGGAAGGUGGAGA
rnacentral:rRNA from 1 species